rnacentral:rRNA from 1 species
UAGGGAAUAUUAGUUAAUGUGCGAAAGCGCGAACUAGCAACGCCGCGUGUGCGAUGAAGGCCUUCGGGUUGUAAAGCACUUUUCCAAGGGACGAGGAAGGACGGUACCUUGGGAAUAAGCAUCGGCUAACUACGUGCCAGCAGCCGCGGUAAAACGUAGGAUGCAAGCGUUAUCCGGAUUUACUGGGCGUAAAGCGCGUGUAGGCGGUUCGGUAAGUUGGAUGUGAAAGCUCCUGGCUUAACUGGGAGAGGUCGUUCAAUACUGCCGAGCUUGAGGAUGGUAGAGGGAGGUGGAAUUCCGAGUGUAGUGGUGAAAUGCGUAGAUAUUCGGAGGAACACCAGUGGCGAAAGCGGCCUCCUGGACCAUUUCUGACGCUCAGACGCGAAAGCUAGGGUAGCAAACGG